GAUGAACGCUGGCGGCGUGCCUAAUACAUGCAAGUCGAGCGAACGGACGAGAAGCUUGCUUCUCUGAUGUUAGCGGCGGACGGGUGAGUAACACGUGGAUAACCUACCUAUAAGACUGGGAUAACUUCGGGAAACCGGAGCUAAUACCGGAUAAUAUUUUGAACCGCAUGGUUCAAAAGUGAAAGACGGUCUUGCUGUCACUUAUAGAUGGAUCCGCGCUGCAUUAGCUUGUUGGUAAGGUAACGGCUUACCAAGGCAACGAUGCAUAGCCGACCUGGGAGGGUGAUCGGCCACACUGGAACUGAGACACGGUCCAGACUCCUACGGGAGGCAGCAGUAGGGAAUCUUCCGCAAUGGGCGAAAGCCUGACGGAGCAACGCCGCGUGAGUGAUGAAGGUCUUCGGAUCGUAAAACUCUGUUAUUAGGGAAGAACAUAUGUGUAAGUAACUGUGCACAUCUUGACGGUACCUAAUCAGAAAGCCACGGCUAACUACGUG
rnacentral:rRNA from 1 species